rnacentral:lncRNA from 1 species
UUGAAGUAGCCAGGUCUGUUACCAUCCUCUUAAACUCAGUGUUAGCUUCUCAGCACUUGGGUUUGACAUUCUGAUGGCUGUUACUGUCACCAUGCGCUGCAGAGCAUUUGCAUUCCAAAUACCACACUAACAAGAAGAUGAAAACAGGCAAAAAAUGAUGACAAUGAAAAUGACCCUCAGUUGUCUGAUCUGUAGCCAAGUGCACCACUGUUGACAUUUUUGGUAGGUAUCCUAGCAGGGCUCCCUGGUGCCUGUGUGUAUGCACUGGUUCAUGUGUGUCUACAUGUCGUGAUAGAUGCUCUUAUUUCUCUAGGAGAAAUGUAAAACAUGCAGGCACCUGGUUUCUAUUUAGGUGCUGACAAGAUGCAAGGUGUUUCCUAUCAUUCAGGGCUUGAGGCCAAAUUGAUCCAAGGCCUGGGGACAAAAGGCUAUGUUGAGAAUGUUGGAGAAAGAAUGUAAAAUUCAUUGAUAGGCUUCGGAACACCUCAGUGGGUCUUUGCUGAAGAGAAUGUUUAAUGUUGUUGUGACAAAAUAAUAUAAAAAUUAGGAUGAUUGAGAUGUUUCAUUAAAUGGGAGAAAUGCAAGAAAGCCUCUGGGGUCCAUAAUUGUGUUUUCAGUGGGUAAGAUGAAAAACAGGUAUGCAUAGUCUCACUGAUACAAGGCCAUUAUUUUAACGUAUUUGUGUCUCAUUUUAAUAAAAGCACAUAUAUUAGUCGUUGGCUUUUUUGUUUUGGAGAUGAAAUAACUUUCUUGUGUUCUUAUUAUCUGAUCUUUUGUAAAAGACUGUUCUUCCUUGUGGAGAUAGGACCCAGAGUCUGGCACGUGCUAGGCUCAGUCUACCAUGGAGCUGCACCUUCAGCCAAAGGCUCUUCUAUGGGAGUGUAAUCAGUGCCGUUGAUGGAUGGUCAUCUAGCCACAGGCUUGCUGCUGAGCAAGCCACGAGGAACAAGCCAGUGAACAGCCAGGUUCCUGACCUGUUGGAGUUCCUGUCCUGACUUCCUUUGAUGAUGAACAGUGAUGUGGAAGUGUAAACCAAAUCCUUUCCUCUCCAGCUUGCUUUUGGUUAUGGUGUUAUACAGUGAUAAAGUAAGGAGCCUUUCUCACCCACCUUCAGCAGCUGCUGGCUUGCACUCCUGACUCCCAUCUCCUUCAUGCACAGCUUGGCCUGCUUUUCAGUUUGUAAAUGUGUUUCUAAAGCUUUUUGUUGGUGUUGAUGGUUUUUAAGGUUGGGUUCACCAUGUGGCCCUGGCUGGCCCAGAACUUGUUUUGUAGGCUAGAAUGGCCUGGAACUCACAGAGCUCUGUAUUCCCCACAGCUGGCUGAGAUGGGUUUUUUAAUGCGCCUGCUACAAUGAGCGUGUCUUUAAACAGCCAGACUGCUAAGUAUCUAAUGGCCACAGGACUCCCAACUGUAAUUUUGCUUUUCUGUUUUUUGAGACCUUGUAGCCCAUUCUGCCCUGGAAUUCACAGUCCUGUGGUCUCAGCUUCCCACCUGCUGCAAUGACAGCUGUGCCAUCACUCUACCCAGCUUGACUUUCAAUUUUCAACGGUGUCUUUGAAUCUGGUUCCAAAUAAACUCCCUGCCUUGUCAUUGGCUGGAGUCUUCAGUGAAGCUGAAGCUAACCGCCUCUGCCUGGCUGCUGUCCCAGAGGGAGGGUGAGCAGGGAGACCCCAGGCAAUCUGUCCUUGGCAGGGAAGUGGGUGGAGGAGCUGAAUGCCAAGCACUGCUGUCCUGAGAGGUGUGGCCCUGGCCCUACCGUGUGUCCAGACUCAGCAGUAGAGCCUGCAGCUCAGCAAGUGAGGACCUGCCGGGCAGGCGCUGGGGACCGGAGUGAACAGACAGAAGGACGGUAGGCCAAGUGCAGGUACACAAGCCUUAUGGGCUCCUAGGUAUCCAUAGGAUGGCGGGAGGGUGUAUGUGAGAUGACACUUCUCAGAACCUGCUUAAUAACACACCAGUAACAGAGACCCUUGCAAGAACACCUGCAGCAACAGUAAUCAGUCACGAAUAAUAGCUACUGCUGUUUGAGUCCCGAGAUCCAGGCUGGGCUGGGAGCUUUGGGAGUGUUAAAGGUGAGGAGGUGAUAUUUAAUGCUUGCCUGGCUCUUGUGAGGAAUUGUGAAAAGAUGGGCCCAGUGCACACUGGACGUAUGGAUGUAUACUUAGUUUAUUUUGCACUGGGAAGUAGAUGCAAUCCCCACACACAUGCUAGGUGAGAAAGCUCUUGAAUUGAGCUAUGCCCUGCCACGUUUAUGAAUGCCUAAAAAAUAUGUUUACAUGCUAUCAUCAGACUUAAAGAUGGAAAAGGCCAGAGAGGUUAAGGAAUCAGCUUACUAACACACAGCUAGGAACCGGGAGUCCAAGUUAAAGCUGUGAUCCUAUUCCUGGGUCGUUGCUGCGACCCUGGGUUUGGGACUUGGGACUGUUGAGCAUGGCUCUGCCACCUAUUAGCUGCAUAGCUUUGGUCUGCUCACCUGACUUCUGAGAAACAGCUUUUUCAUUUGUGAAGUGGGCACAAUGGUGGUGUUUACCUCAAAGUUUCUGCAAGAAUUUACAUGCACAGGGCGCAUCCCUGGCUGCCUCACUCGGUGUUUCUGAGGGCCAUGAACCUUGGGGAUCCUGCAGCAGUGUGCACUGCCAUUUGCUUGCUAUGUGAGCUUUUCAAGAACACAGACUCGCCUGUGAAACACAGCAGAGUGAACGCAGCUGAUAGAGUAAACGGGGAGAGGGACUCCGUGUGGGGGCACCUGGUGAGGAGGGUAGCCAGGAUCCCACUGCUCCUCUCUUUCCUUGCACUGUGGAAGCCAGAGCCUUUUGAUGAUGAACAAGGCAGGCAUGGCUGAGAGUGUGUUCUGGGUAAAGGGGGAUAGGUAGGGACCCACAACCCUCCCUACAAACUCCCUAUCCCCUGACUCAGCAGCCCUAAGUUAGGGGGCCCCAACAUGAAGUACUGAAAUCAAAUUUAAGUUUUUGUUUUUUUUUUUAAAUGUGGGUGGGUUUGCUUUUGCCUCAGCCACAAAAUGUCUUUCCUUGUUUUGUUCUUGUUUUUGAGAAAGGGUUUUAUUAUGUAGCCCAGGCUAUCCUGGAACUGAUCCAUACAUUAGGCUGGCUUUGAACUGGCAAUGAUCUUCCUGCCUCUGACACUCAACAAUGAAAUAAUACCUUUUAGUUAUUUGUCUGUCUGUCUGUCUGUCUCUCUCUCUCUCUCUCUCUCUCUCUCUCUGUGUGUGUGUGUGUGUGUGUGUGUGUGUGUGUGUGUGUGUGAAUUCUUCCAGUUAGUGUUCAUGGGCCCAUAUGCGGUGCUCAUGCCGCAGACUUUAAAUGGAGCUGCCUCACAACAGUGAUAAACUUUUGGUAGAUGUCCAGGCAUCAAGUCUCCACAGGGGACUAAUUGCCUGGUCUGUAGCCUGAACAGCUUGAUUCUGGCUUGCCUGUGACGUGCUGGUUUUAACAUGUUAAGUUGGAAGCCCCUCUGUUCCAUUUGGCAAGACACCUGACCGCUCCCUCAAGUAAACUCUGAGCUCUGAGGUCUGUACUGACUGCGGCUGUCUUCAUCUGAGAUUCUGCAGGUGGUUUGGUGAAGAAGGGCAGGGCCACCGAGAACGCUAUCAGCUGUCCACCACCAAAUGGCCCAUGCCUCGCCCAGUCUUUUCAGUCUUUUGACCAGCCCUCUAAAAGAGAGUACCCCAAAGGACCUUUAAUUAAAAUCAAAUCCCUAAUUGACAGUGGGCUGGGGUUUCACUGAGACUGAAGACAUUCUGUGCCCAGAGAGAGGAGUGUUUAUUUCAUAACUGCAAACCUCUCACAGAGGUAACAGGAUCAGCUCAGCCAACUGCACAAGAAGCCUCAUUGUCUGGGAAAUUGGAGGACUGUGAAUGGGGUCGAUGUGACCAAAGAGAAGAGGGAAAGAGGCACAAGUCCCUAACCACCCAAAUCCAGGAAGUUAUUGUUGGAGCUCAGCACAGCAGUCCCCAGGAGCAGCUAGCUGGUGGGCAGAAUGCCGGUUUCCAGUAUCUGGAGGUUUUGAAAGUGACAUCAUGGUCUGCUCUGCCCUGCAAAGUCAAACGAGCACAUAUGAUUGCUAUGGAGAUCCCCUGGGGGUGGGGAGGGGACAAGACAAGCCACUAAUGUAAUAGGCUAGGCAACACUGACAAGGGCCGGGCUGGACUAGGGAAUGCUGGGGAGCCUGUAAUUGUUAGAUAUCACCCAACUUAUAUCAUCACCAGAAUUCCUGCCUACACUGAAAGAGGGUGCUGUUGUUACCUCAGUACCGGAAAAGCGGAAACAAACAAUUUAUACAUGGAUUCAGAAGGAAGGUUGAAAACAAUUUUAUUGAAAUUUUAAGAGG